rnacentral:lncRNA from 1 species
CCGUAGGCGGAGCUCUGCAUCCUCCUCAGGCCUCUGUUUCUUCAUCAACUAGAGCUCCGCCAGCUUCUCAGACCUCUGCUGCUUCAUCAACUAGAGCUCCGCCAGCUUCUCAGACCUCUGCGGCUUCAACUAGAGCUCCGCCUCCUCCUCAUUCGUCUAGUACUAGAGCUCCGCCAGCUUCUCAGACCUCUGCUGCUUCAUCAACUAGAGCUCCGCCAGCUUUUCAGACCUCUGCGGCUUCAUCAACUCGGGCUCCGCCUCCUCCUCAUUCGUCUAGUACUAGAGCUCCGCCUCCUCCUCAUUCAACUAGUACUAGAGCUGCG